rnacentral:rRNA from 1 species
CUUUAAACCGAUUUUUGUGGGACUGGGUGUACGGGGGAUGUUCUAAGGGCCAAAACUACUCGUUCGACACCUCCUUCCCCAUCUAAAAAAAACCUUCUUCCCCGUCUUCGUCCAAGCUAGGGUUUCCUCUGCUGACCUCCGUCGUGCUUCCGGCCGCUACUUGCAUCUCUCCGCCCUCCAUUCAUUCCACUCCUCUAGCCUAUGAGAUAUGGCGAGCACAGCAUGCUUUGUGAUUGUCAGUAAGAAUGAUAUCCCAAUCUAUGAUGCUGAAGUUGGAUCCGCUCCAAAAAAAGAAGAUCAGGCUUAUCAGCAUCAGUUCAUUUUGCAUGCUGCAUUAGAUGUUGUUCAGGACCUUGCAUGGGCUACAAGUACAAUGUUUCUGAAGUCAGUAGAUAGAUUCAACGAUCUUGUGGUGUCUGUUUAUGUAACUGCUGGUCAUACUAGAUUUAUGUUGCUUCAUGAUUCACGGAGUGAAGAUGGUAUAAAAAGCUUCUUUCAGGAAGUUCACGAACUUUACAUCAAGAUAUUCCUUAAUCCACUCUACUUGCCUGGUUCUCGCAUCACAUCCUCUCAUUUCAAUACCAAGGUCAGGUUUCAAGGAAAUACCUGUAGCAUACACUCAGGUGGAAGACCAUGUAAGCGACCAUUGAAUGACCAGUAGAUCCUGAAAAUGAGCUAGCACUAUGAUGUGCCAAAAUGGUGCUCAACGGAGAGUUUUCUUUGCUUAUUUCUGAGGCAUUUCCCCUGCCAACGUUUCAUUUUUAUGUUUAUCUCCUUACCCCUGUCCUGUGCUGUUGUCUUGAGAUACUCGAGUGUCCUAAGCUGAGCCCUGUUAAAUUUACCUUGCACAUCGAUACUGCACCAUUAUAUCUGUAGCCAUGGCAGUGAAAGGAGAUGGUGCCGCAGUAUCAUCACGAGCUGUAUGAAGCAUGGAACCACGCAGCGGCAUUAAUAUUACAGGACACUGCAACAGACCAGCUGGUAGUGGUACUGUAGCUCCACUAAAAGGACCCCUGCAGAAUCUCCCGAGAAAGGUCUUCGCUCAUCACGAGCUGUAUGAAGCAUGGGACCACGCAGCGGCAUUAAUAUUACAGGACACUGCAACAGACCAGCUGGUAGUGGUACUGUAGCUCCACUAAAAGGACCCCUGCAGAAUCUCCCGAGAAAGGUCUUCGCUCAUCAGAUGAAUUCCAUUAAUAAAUGAAUCUGCAAUUAUCACUUGGGAUUGUACAAGGAAGAGCUGUCACUUGGCUGGAAACCCUCGAAAUGUAGUCACCUUUUUUUCUUUUGGAGAUUUGCCUUUUCGUUUCGUGAAGACAAGACUUUGGCCGAUGAUUAUUUAACACAAACAGGUGUUUAUGUGCCAUGAAAUUUAUGUCACAAUAU